UGUGCCUGGCUGGUUACGUCCCCCUGCAAAAUCCAAGGAACUUGCUAAUCACCGGAGGGUGAAACAAAGUACAGGCCAAGGUCUCCCCAAAAAAGCAGUCCCAGCUGCGCUCUGAUAUGCAAAAGGGUUGCCUCAGCCUCCAGAGAUAGUGGUUAGAAGCCACUUUCAAGACACCGAAGGCCUUUCUGAAGCUAGAGGACAGGAUGUGAAACAGAUGCCAGCUCAAGUGGGCACAGGCCGGGAGGCUCUCCAGCUGGCCUCCCUUGAGCCUGGAGGAUGGAGGAAGCCCACAGGAAGCAGUGGGAGGGAAGAGGAGAAGGUGCAGCUUCAACCCGGAUGUGCACUGAAUAGCUGGAGGGAUAAGAGACAGACAGACAGACAGACAGAGACAGAGAGAAUGAAUAGACGUCCAGGGUAUAUCCACACUAACAGAGUCUGUAUGGGUGAAGCUCAAGCACUGAUAUUUUAUGAAUGUCCUUCAAGGUUCCUGACCUGCAGCUAAGCCUGGGACCAGGGUAUCGGGAACAAGGUAAGUAAAGGGACACGGGGCCUGGGAUCCUCUGACUAGAGAACAGAGCCUCGGCCUCCACCCUUGCUACACAAACUACCUGAGUCCAUCACAGCUGGGCCAUUUAGGGCUUGUGAGCAGACCCCACUUCUCUGGGGUGCUAGCACUGGAUGAGAGGCCAGAGAAGCCAGCCACUCUCGGGGACGACAUCUGCCAUGGAAGCAUCAAGGGAAGAUCUGCCAACCUCCCAGGUGAAACCCUUGCGGAAGAGCAGGAGAUCCUCCCGAGACGGCAGCCAUCAGCCUUCCCAAGCCCAUCUGAGAAGGAAGACGGGCCGCGCCACGGCUGAGAACCCCUGAGUCCCCUGAACUGGGAUGCAGUCAGCGGUAGAGCGCUUCCCCAGCAUGCACAGGACCUGGGUUCGCACACAAAAAUGUAAAAGCCUUGAUUUAAAGGAAGACGUUAACUGAUAAAAACUAAGUAUAUUUAUGAGGGACAAUGUAAUGUUUUAAUAUAUGUAGGCAUUGAGGAAUGAAUAGCUCAAGCUGACUGACAUAUCCAUUGCUUCAUGUACUUAUUUUUUUGUGGUAGAAACACUUGAAAUUCAUUCAUCAAUUUUGAAGUAGACAUUAUUACUAACUACAAUCAACACAUUGAGCCAUAGAUCUCAUUCUUCCUGUGUAAUGAAACUGAAACUUUGUAAACUAUAACAGACAUCUCCUCAUCCUCCCUUCCCCAACAAUACUUAAUUUUUAAGAGGCAAUUUUCACUGGGUGGUACCCAGCUAUAUGUCCCAGUACUCAGGAGGCUGAGGCAGGAGUAUCACUCCAAAUUUAAGGCCAGUCUGGGCUACGUAGUGAGACCCGUCUCAAAAGAACAAAAAAAAAGAGGUCUAUUUCUUACGCUGUACUAUUUCUGAAAGUACACUCUGUCUUACAAGCUGAGCCUGUUUCCUAAGGUGACUCUUUCUCUAGCCCAUCAGCCCCAGGUUGUUAAAACCAAGGUUUGUCUUAUCAGUGCACUAGAAGCUGUAUUCUCAGAAGGUGCCGCAGAAGCCGGGCCUGAAGCCAGCCAGGACAUGGGCCGGUGACCUCCCUCAACAGGCCCACACACACAUACACAGGGUUGGGCUUUCCCAGAGCUGGGCUCCCUCAGAGCAGACCUCCCCACAAACAGCCUUCGCAUUGAACUCUCUUCCUCAGGACAGCAAGGAACAGGCCUGGCUCAGCCCACAGCCAGUGACUGCUGAGGGCAGGUCCCACGCGGGAUGCUUCACAUGCACGUUUCUCAUGAUACCCAAGACAGCGUCAUAUCACUGUCACCUUUUUCAAGCUACAGCUCCAGUGGUACCUCUGUCCUCGUCGUUAAUUGGCCAGGAGCACAGUAAGCACCAAAUGGUUGUUCUGGCUGCAAAAAGUAGCGAGCAGGAGGGAGGCAAUGGACAGUGACAAGUGCUAGCUUGCGGGCAGAGCACCCAACAAAUGACAAGAACCAGGACAAAAAUGCUCAUGUCGGGAUGGGCUGAGCACCCAUUCCAUGCAUUUCAAAGCAGUCGGCUACCAAUGUCUGACUGAACAUGGCUCGAGAAGCACCCCCAGGACAGAGCUGCGACAGGCACUGGUCUGACUCCAGAGGCCACACUCUUCCUGCUGAACCAGGAAACCCAGGUUACAGGGCGGGGAACUCUUGGACAAUAACCGUCUCGUACAGCAGCCUGAGCGUCCAGAACCACUGCCACCUGUGGGAGGAAAAGCACUGCUACUCUGGGAAGCUGUCUGUUGUGCUGUUUUGUUUUGUACUGAGAACCGAACGUAGGCUCGUGCCAGGAUCAAGACAACAAGGGAAGGGAAUAAAAGGAUCUCCAUGGAGCACAUGCACCAGUUCCUCACAGUGAGAAGUCUAAACGCAACUCACAGUGUCAGUGAAGCACAGAAGCCGGCCUCGGACAGGAGACGGCACAGGUGCCAGGAAGCUGUGUGGGCAGAAAGCCCGGCUUGGCCUCCCCGCCCUCUGCUGCUGGGAGUCACGGGUUGGCAGCAGCAGCGGGAGCAGAGAGGAAAGCCUGGCAGGGGCGCAAUGCUGACUCACUCCGAGGAACACGGAGAGGAUCAGACGGUGGCCACGGAACAGGCCGGAGAAGGUGGCCACGGAACAGCCAGGUGCAGGGGGAAUAAGGAAGGGUGCACCGAGCAGGAGAGACCUCAGGGAGACUAACGCAGAGAGAGCUAGCUCGGGGCAAGAGCCCACUGCAGCGAGGAAGUGGCACGGAGAAGUUUCCCACGGUGCAGAAUUAACAAAACCACAAGUGCAGUGUGAGAAAAUGGCAAACACAGAUCCGGACCGCGGGUCUAACCAAGACCCUUGGGACUGCUGUUAAAGAAGCUAGAGCAAAUGGAACAAGAGAUGAAACUGGACAGUUACAAAACGACAAAAGUCAUUUCUUCACAACAGUGAUAAUGAUAUUCGCUGACACUCCCUGGUAAAAAUUUUACAGCAUCAGUUCUUCAAAAGGCAGAGACUCAGCAAAGAAUUGUACAUUAGAGGAGACUUGGAUUUUGCUGCAACAACAAAUUCCUGCCCUCGUGGAAUAAUAACUACACCAGGAAUUGAAUUCGGGACCUUGUGCUUGCCAGGCAGGUGCCAUGCCACUGAGCCCCUUUAAAUAUUCUAAGAAACAAAGAAAAGUCUAUACCCAGCUGUGAAGACAAGAGGAAGAUAUAAAUUUGAACAAAUAGUGUAGAUAUUACAUAAUCUACACUACUGUCUUCAAAAUACUAGUUGCAGGUAUACUGCAUAUUAUCAAAAAAUAAACCCAAAUUUCUUGAAAAAAUGGUAUAUUAAGACUACAGCAUGCAUUAAGGUCAAACUGCCAGGUGUGAUUGUGCAUGCCUGUAAUUCCAGCACUAAGGAGGUUGAGGCAGGAGGAUUGCUAAGAGUUCCAGUCAGGAGUGGGGCACACAGUGAGUUCAAAGCCAGCCUGAACUAUGUAAUGAAACCUUGUCUCAAAAUACCCCAAAAUUAAAAAUAAAUAAAUAAGUAAAAGGCCAACCUAAUUUAAUUAGAACUAAAUAAUUACAGCUUACAAAAUGACUGAAAAUAUCUAGUUCUUUAAAAAAGUGAUACACCAUUUUUAAAUUUAUAAUAUUAAUAAUAUAUUUAAAUAUAAAAUGUAAAAGAGGAAAUAAAAUCAUGCCAAAGGCAUCUUUUAUGAUGAUUAAGAUAAAGGUACUUCUGGUCUUCAUGCUGACAGAGAAAGUGAUCAAAUCAAAAACUUGACGCAAACUCUUUAAAUGAAAUACAAGCAAAUCAACCUAAGCCAAAAGAACAAUUUCCCCUCAGCCAGAAACAAUAACCGUACAGGCUUUACACUCCCUGCGAUGGUAAGCAAGAGCCGCAUUUCCUGACCCUGCACACUCAUCGUGAAUGUGGGCUGGCCUGGUGACUCACUUCCACCCCAGGAGCACGAGACAGGGUAACACUGUGACCAUGUCACACCUCAGCCUUAGGGAGGCCUGGAGUUUCUGCAGAACCCUAAGCUGCCACAUGAGAAGUAUGGUUACCCUGCUGAAGGGACCCCUUUUGUUCUUUUCUGUUUUUGUGGUCCUGGGAAUUGAAUCUUAAACUAGAGCCAUACCACCAUGACCUUAUAUCCCGUCCUUUUUUUCAUUCUUUGGUGUGAGUGGCCAGGCUGGUCUUGGAUUUGUGCUCCUCCUGACUCAGUCUCUUGAGUACCUGAGACUGUAAGCAUGCACCACUGAAUGAGGCUGGAGAGACACUUUUAAGAGGCUGUGUAAGAGCGUGAGGCAACUCCACAGAGACCCCAGUGUUCUAACAGUCCUCCUGGGUCCAGGGAGCCCUACCAUGCACUGGUCAUGUGAGUGAGGCACCAGAGGACUGCAGGACACAGAAUAUCCACAGGGAAAAAGGACCAUCCACCUGCACCAGGUAACCUACAGAACCAUGGGACAGCAAGAUGAAUCCAGCUUUGUAUGCAGCAACAGAAAGAGAGAGACAGUCUUUCAAGAGUAUUGCUGAAAUGAUUAAAAGACCUCUCAAAUACUUGCUAUUUAAUAAAUCAAUUAAGAUGCAAAGACUAAGAAACAGAAGUCAUAGUCAAUACAAAGCAAGGUGGAAAUAUUUCAAGUGGAGACUUCAGGGCAAAAGCACUGAAUUGGGACAAAGGUAGAAAAAUAUGAUAGUUAGGAGUAUUAAUAACAGCAUUAUCUCAAAAUAUAUACACAAAGCCAACAAUACUAGAGAUGUAAGAAAAACAGGCCUGGAGUACAGUGUGCUGGCAGAAUACAUGCUUAGGAUGCAUAAUGGCCUGGGUUCAGCUCCCAGCACUCAGAGAAUAGCAGGAAAAGGAAGGAAGGAAGGACAGCAGUGAGGAGGGACCACAAGGGGAUAAAAGGGAGACCAGCUGGGCACGGCAUGGCCCUGAACACCUGUAGUCCCAGCACUCCAGAGGCUGAAGGAGGAGGAUCGCUGCAAGUUCAAGGCCGGCCUGGGCUGCGUAGUGAGCUCAAGGGCAGUUUAAAUAGCAAGACCCUGUCUGAAAAAAAAAAGAAUAUCAACAAGUCACCGCCUAUCUUUUUUUUCUCCUGAGGUGAUGCUGGCCUUGAACUCAUGAUCCUCCUGCAUCAGCUUCCCGAGCAGCUGGGUUACAAGGGACUGGCUCAUUUUGUAUCGUUAACAAAUCCCAUCAACAAAACAAUGAGAACAGAGCCUCUCUGGUCAUAUCCGUCCCAAAAGCUGUGUGAGACCGACAUACAGUUUCUCCUUUCCCAUGGCCCAGUCCUGUGAAUACUUUCCAUAAGAUAACUCUGGGUCAUUCCUUAAGAGGGCAGAUCAAGUGUAAAGUACACAGCAACUUGUGGAAAUUCUUCUCAUAUUAUUCCAAGUAGCCUUCUAUUUGCCUUAAUUUUGAUAAUAUGGUAAAAAAUAAAAAUAAAAACCACCUGAAACUGCAGCCAGGCAUGGUGGCACACACCUGUAAUCCCAGCACUCAGGAGGCCGAGGCAAGUGUUGCUUCAAGUCCAGGGUUCAGAAUGAGUUCAAGGCCAACUGAACUGCAUUGCAAAACUGUCUCACAAAGAUGAAAGAAAGAAAAGAAAAGAAGAGAAAUUAAGCUUUUGAAUUAGAAUUUGGAAGCAGAUGUGGGACUGCAUGCCUGUAAUCUCAGCACUCAGGAGGCUGAGGCAGGAGGAUUGUUGUGGGUUUAAGGAUAGCCUGGACUACACAGUGAGUUUAAAACUAGCCUUAAUUAUACAGCAAGACUCCGUCUCAAAUAAAAGCAGAAAAUUAGAAAUUUUAAAUUAGAAGUUGUAAGAAAUCCUAUCAAUUUAAUACCAUAUUCAAUAAUAGUACAGCAAAAUACAAAUCUUAGCAGUUGUAACCCACCAACACAAAUUUGUCCAAUGCAUCCAAAAUGCCAGCUGCCACGUUAGGCCCUGGAAAUACAGUGGAGAAUGAAAGACACAGGUCCUUUUCAGGUUUGCACUAUAGUGCAAGAUAAAUAUUAAAAUCAUUUUAGUUAGUGAUAGACACUUUUCAAGGUCAGCCUCAACCAGAGAGAGAGACUCUGUCUCAAAAACUGAAAAAACAGUGUCCCAACAUGGUGGUGAGGGUUGUUGGCAGCUCAAGCUUCUCCAGGGCAAAGUGCCUAGGAAGAGGCACUGAAGGGAGUGGAGGCUACCCAGGAACCAUGGGGAACUGGCCGAGGAGAAGAAAACAGGGUUAAGAGAUACAGAAGAAACAGAUCGCACAGGAGAGACCAUGCAGUGCCACUGAGGGCUGCGAGGGAAAGUGAAGCUCACAAUUCCUGCGAUGGAGAACCAGAGAACUGCAAGGAAAACGCGGGACACUGCUUCCAGAGCAGCCCUCCAGCCCACAGCCACAGUCAAGAGCAAGAGUCCGCGUGUCGCCAUGCAAAAGUGCUGAGUGUUGGAACCGCCUCGGCAGCCCAGUGAUUGCUUCAUACUGUGCAGGGUCCCAGAAAGGAUGCGUGCAGGGCAGACCUGGGAGGCUGGCGGCUGCAGGAGAGCAGCCUGGGGAGGGUCCAGCAGAGAGGCAAGGCCCCUGCUCUCAGAGACCAGGUUCCCCCUGAGGCUCCUGUUCCCGGAGGAAGCAGAUCUCCCAGCGGCAUCCUGGGGGCAGCCUGUCACCUUAGCCAGUGUGAACAACAAAGACACAACCUGGCCUCAGCCCUGCUCCUUAACUCUAGGCCGAGGAAAGGAGCCACACGCCCAAAGCAACAGAAAACUUUCUUUUAUUAGUCUUUAUUUGACGAUUAUUUCUUCGUUUUUAUUUUACCUUUAAUUGUGAUAAAAAUGUAAUUUGAGUAUGUCAAAUCUCAAAGUUAAUAUGUAAAAUAAAAUUAAACAUCUGUAAAA